rnacentral:lncRNA from 1 species
CCCUGAGGAAAAGCCUACAAAAGCUGAUCUGUUGAAGAAGGAUCUACUGAAAAAAGAGCAUAAGGAAUUGUAGAUCAUGCAUGUGGAUGGAUUGUCAAGCUCCAUCGGGCUAGAAGCAAGUUUGAUCCUUGCAGGAUUGGGAGGGAAGCAUUGUAGAAUAUGCCUUGCAUCUUGAAUUCUCAGCUACUAAAAAUGAAGCUGAGUAUGAAGUCCUAACCACCCAACUCAAAAUAGCUAAGG